rnacentral:rRNA from 1 species
GUGGCAGCAGCCGCGGUAAAACCAGCACCUCAAGUGGUCAGGAUGAUUAUUGGGCCUAAAGCAUCCGUAGCCGGCUCUGUUAGUUUUCGGUUAAAUCUAUAUGCUCAACAUAUAGGCCGCCGGGAAUACUACAAAGCUAGGGAGUGGGAGAGGUAGACGGUACUCCGUAGGAAGGGGUAAAAUCCUUUGAUCUAUGGAUGACCACCUGUGGCGAAGGCGGUCUACCAGAACACGUUCGACGGUGAGGGAUGAAAGCUGGGGGAGCAAACCGGAUUAGAUACCCGGGUAGUCCCAGCUGUAAACUAUGCAAACUCAGUGAUGCAUUGGCUUGUGGCCAGUGCAGUGCCGCAGAGAAGUCGUUAAGUUUGCCGCCUGGGAAGUACGUACGCAAGUAUGAAACUUAAAGGAAUUGGCGGGGGAGCACCACAAGGGGUGAAGCCUGCGGUUCAAUUGGAGUCAACGCCAGAAAUCUUACCCGGAGAGACAGCAGGAUGAAGGUCAAGCUGAAGACUUUACCAGACAAGCUGAGAAGUGGUGCAUGGCCGUCGCCAGCUCGUGCCGUGAGGUGUCCUGUUAAGUCAGGUAACGAGCGAGAUCCUUGCUUCUAGUUGCCACCAUUACUCUCAGGAGUAGUGGGGCGAAUUAGCGGGACUGCCGUAGUUAAUACGGAGGAAGGAGAGGGCCACGGCAGGUCAGUAUGCCCUGAAACUUUGGGGCCACACGCGGGCUGCAAUGGUAGUGACAAUGUGUUCCGAAUCCGAAAGGAGGAGGUAAGCCUCAAACGCUACCACAGUUAUGACUGAGGGCUGCAACUCGCCCUCACGAAUAUGGAAUCCCUAGUAACUGCGUGUCAUUAUCGCGCGGUGAAUACGUCCCUGCUCCUUGCACACACCGCCCGUC